rnacentral:rRNA from 1 species
UACGUAGGGGGCUAGCGUUGUCCGGAAUCAUUGGGCGUAAAGCGCGUGUAGGCGGUCCGGUAAGUCCGCUGUGAAAGUCGGGGGCUCAACCCUCGAAUGCCGGUGGAUACUGUCGGGCUAGAGUGCGGAAGAGGCGAGUGGAAUUCCUGGUGUAGCGGUGAAAUGCGCAGAUAUCAGGAGGAACACCAAUUGCGAAGGCAGCUCGCUGGGACGUUACUGACGCUGAGGCACGAAGGCCAGGGGAGCAAACGGG